CAAACUGGAGCUAGCAAAAAGUUGUCAACGAAUGUCAAUUGGUUUUCUGAUCUGGUCAAAAAAUUCAAAAUUAGGAUCCAGCAUUCGACCUGCAAUUGAUGAUGAUCGAAACCGGCCUUUCAACGAAUGAAGAUUCGCUCUUGGAGUGUUCCCUGUCAUCGAUCGACAUCGCUCAGGACGACUUCAGCCUUCAGCAAACUGAUCAAAAAUCCUCCGAGAAACAAAUCCAACAGCUGAAAAGUGAAAAUGAUGAACUGCGAUCGCUGUUGCAACAAUUGUUGCUAGAAAUAGAUCAACAAUUUGAACAGAUUGACCGGCAGCAGCUCGAAAUCGAAUGUCUGCGCGAACAACGAGAACUUCUACUAAAAGGACCAUUGAUCAAACUGCCUGCCAGGCAGAGAAUCAGAGACUGUUUCGGUGCUGAACUCGAGACGAUUGGGGAACUCGAACCAUUGAGAAUGUAUGUCGUGAACGGACGAUUUAGGUUUGAGGAAAUGCGUAGGCGGAAGAGGAAUGAGGAAAAGAACCGAAAGAUCUCGGGUCGAAGAUAUUACAUGUGAUACAACAUGGUUUUGAAUGACAUCCAAUUUUAAUAAGCAAAACAUAUAAAUGAAUGAAUCAAUAAAUUGAUAGCCGUUACUUCAAGAAUGUGUAAUGCUUGU